GCCUUUACUGACGCUAAAGCUCGAAGGUGCGGGUAUCGAACAGGAUUAGAUACCCUGGUAGUCCGCACGGUAAACGAUGGGUGCCCGCUGUUCGCGAUAUACAGUGAGCGGCCAAGAGAAAUCGUUAAGCAUCCCACCUGGGGAGUACGCCGGCAACGGUGAAACUCAAAGGAAUUGACGGGGGCCCGCACAAGCGGAGGAACAUGUGGUUUAAUUCGAUGAUACGCGAGGAACCUUACCCGGGCUUGAACUGCAGGAGAAGGAAACAGAGAUGUUGACGCCCUUCGGGGCUCCUGUGGAGGUGCUGCAUGGUUGUCGUCAGCUCGUGCCGUGAGGUGUCGGCUUAAGUGCCAUAACGAGCGCAACCCUUUUCGUCAGUUGCCAUCAGGUGAUGCUGGGCACUCUGGCGACACUGCCACCGUAAGGUGUGAGGAAGGUGGGGAUGACGUCAAAUCAGCACGGCCCUUACGUCCGGGGCUACACACGUGUUACAAUGGGGCAUACAGAAGGCCGGUCGCCCGCAAGAGCGAUCCAAUCUAAAAAGUGUCCCUCAGUUCGGAUUGGGGUCUGCAACCCGACCCCAUGAAGCUGGAUUCGCUAG
rnacentral:rRNA from 1 species